CUGAUGCAGCCAUGCCGCGUGUGUGAAGAAGGCCUUCGGGUUGUAAAGCACUUUCAGUCAGGAGGAAAGGUUAGUAGUUAAUACCUGCUAGCUGUGACGUUACUGACAGAAGAAGCACCGGCUAACUCCGUGCCAGCAGCCGCGGUAAU
rnacentral:rRNA from 1 species